rnacentral:rRNA from 1 species
AACGAACGCUGGCGGCAGGCCUAACACAUGCAAGUCGAGCGCACCUUCGGGUGAGCGGCGGACGGGUUAGUAACGCGUGGGAACGUGCCCUUCUCUACGGAAUAGCCUCUGGAAACGGAGAGUAAUACCGUAUACGCCCUUUGGGGGAAAGAUUUAUCGGAGAAGGAUCGGCCCGCGUUAGAUUAGGUAGUUGGUGGGGUAACGGCCUACCAAGCCUACGAUCUAUAGCUGGUUUUAGAGGAUGAUCAGCAACACUGGGACUGAGACACGGCCCAGACUCCUACGGGAGGCAGCAGUGGGGAAUCUUGGACAAUGGGGGCAACCCUGAUCCAGCCAUGCCGCGUGAGUGAAGAAGGCCCUAGGGUCGUAAAGCUCUUUCGCCUGUGAUGAUAAUGACAGUAGCAGGUAAAGAAACCCCGGCUAACUCCGUG